GAAUAAGAAGCGAUAUAUCGCAGUCAGUUUCGACCUGGCCUUAGGUAUCUAUACCCUUAUUCU
rnacentral:tRNA from 1 species